AACGAACGCUGGCGGCAUGCCUAACACAUGCAAGUCGAACGAGACCUUCGGGUCUAGUGGCGCACGAGUGCGUAACGCGUGGGAAUCUGCCCUUGGGUUCGGAACAACAGUUGGAAACGACUGCUAAUACCGGAUGAUGACUUCGGUCCAAAGAUUUAUCGCCCAAGGAUGAGCCCGCGUAGGAUUAGCUUGUUGGUGAGGUAAAAGCUCACCAAGGCGACGAUCCUUAGCUGGUCUGAGAGGAUGAUCAGCCACACUGGGACUGAGACACGGCCCCGACUCCUACGGGAGGAAGCAGUGGGGAAUAUUGGACAAUGGGCGAAAGCCUGAUCCAGCAAUGCCGCGUGAGUGAUGAAGGCCUUAGGGUUGUAAAGCUCUUUUACCCGGGAUGAUAAUGACAGUACCGGGAGAAUAAGCCCCGGCUAACUCCGUGCCAGCCGCCGCCGUAA
rnacentral:rRNA from 1 species